rnacentral:rRNA from 1 species
UACGUAGGGGGCAAGCGUUGUCCGGAAUCAUUGGGCGUAAAGAGCGUGUAGGCGGUUCGGUAAGUUGGAUGUGAAAUCUCCAGGCUCAACUUGGAGGGGUCAUUCGAUACUGCCAUGACUAGAGUUCGGUAGGGGAGUGUGGAAUUCCUGGUGGAGCGGUGAAAUGCGCAGAUAUCAGGAGGAACACCCGUAGCGAAGGCGGCACUCUGGGCCGGAACUGACGCUGAGGAGCGAAAGCGUGGGGAGCGAACAGG